rnacentral:rRNA from 1 species
GUCGUAACAGGUCUCCGUAGGUGAACCUGCGGAGGGAUCAUUACACAAUAUGAAAGCGGGUUGGGACCUCACCUCGGUGAGGGCUCCAGCUUGUCUGAAUUAUUCACCCAUGUCUUUUGCGCACUUCUUGUUUCCUGGGCGGGUUCGCCCGCCACCAGGACCAAACCAUAAACCUUUUUGUAAUUGCAAUCAGCGUCAGUAAACAAUGUAAUUAUUACAACUUUCAACAACGGAUCUCUUGGUUCUGGCAUCGAUGAAGAACGCAGCGAAAUGCGAUACGUAGUGUGAAUUGCAGAAUUCAGUGAAUCAUCGAAUCUUUGAACGCACAUUGCGCCCUUUGGUAUUCCAAAGGGCAUGCCUGUUCGAGCGUCAUUUGUACCCUCAAGCUUUGCUUGGUGUUGGGCGUCUUUGUCUCUCACGAGACUCGCCUUAAAAUGAUUGGCAGCCGACCUACUGGUUUCGGAGCGCAGCACAAUUCUUGCACUUUGAAUCAGCCUUGGUUGAGCAUCCAUCAAGACCACAUUUUUUUCAACUUUUGACCUCGGAUCAGGUAGGGAUACCCGCUGAACUAG